rnacentral:tRNA from 1 species
AGAAAAUUAGUUAAAUUUAUAACAUAAACAUGUCAAAUUUAAAUUACUAAUAUUUUAGUAUUUUCUG